CACAGAGUUAACCGAAAACUACCAAAAAUACAGAUUACAUCAAAACCGUGCUGAAUUUGGAUAUUACCACUACAAAAACGAAAAGCAUCCAGUGAUUUCUACAACUGGACAGCCGGAUCACAGGAAUUUCUAAUUUUGAAAAUGAAAUCAUGUCUAUUGUUCUGGAACUAUAAGCGCUAACACGCCGAAGAAGAAUAUCUUCCUUUAAGAAGUUAAAUGAUCAUGAAACACCACAAGCAUCUCGCCGGACACUACUGCCAGACCAGACUUCCAUACUAAACUGUUUAACCUGCGGCUAUGCGGAGAGUUCUGAAAAAUAAAAUGCCGACACUGCUUCCACAGCUCCUUGGACCUAGGAAGAGCUCCUGAUUUGCUUUGACCUUCCUAAAUAAAUUCAUUUAUCAAUGAGCUGUGAAAUUGAGUGUUGCGUUUCAACUUUAUUAAACUAAAUAUGCUACUGCAUUGAAAUUUCUGGUGCUUCAUGUUUACAAAAACUGUGCUGUGUAAGAAAAUGAAAUUAAAUUAUGUUAAUAUAA